rnacentral:rRNA from 1 species
UACGAAGGGUGCAAGCGUUAAUCGGAAUUACUGGGCGUAAAGGGUGCGUAGGCGGUUCGUUAAGUCUGUCGUGAAAUCCCCGGGCUCAACCUGGGAAUGGCGAUGGGUACUGGCGAGCUAGAGUGUGUCAGAGGAUGGUGGAAUUCCCGGUGUAGCGGUGAAAUGCGCAGAUAUCGGGAAGAACACCCGUGGCUAGGGCGGCUCUCUAGUACGGUACUGACGCUGAGACGCGAAAGCGUGGGGAGCGAACAGG